GCGCACCAGGCGCGUAACUUCGCAAUGCGCGAAGCGCGACGAGGGAUUCCAAGUGCAUGCACUAAGUGUAUGCUUUCGUGAGUUUAAACGCUCACGGAAUAAGGGCUGGGUAAGACUGGUGCCAGCCGCCGCGGUAAUACCAGCGGCCCUAGUGGUGAUCGUUAUUAUUGGGCCUAAAGCGUCCGUAGCCGGUCCGGUAAAUCUCUGGGUAAAUCGUUGGGCUUAACUCAGCGAAUUCUGGGGAGACUGCUGGACUUGGGACCGGGAGAGGUCGGAGGUACUCCAGGGGUAGGGUGAAAUCCUGUAAUCCUUGGGGGACCACCGGUGGCGAAGGCGUCCGACCAGAACGGGUCCGACGGUAAGGGACGAAGCCCCUGGGGCGCGAACCGGA
rnacentral:rRNA from 1 species